rnacentral:rRNA from 1 species
UCGCACGGACCCGCAAGGGUCAGUGGCGAACGGGUGAGUAAUGUAUCGCUAACGUACCCUGGACCCUGGGAUAGCUUCCCGAAAGGGAAGGUAAUACCAGAUGAGACCCCGAGGAGGCAUCUCCUUGUGCUCAAAGGUCCGCCGGUCUGGGAGCGGGCGAUAUCGUAUCAGCUAGUUGGUGAGGUAACGGCUCACCAAGGCGACGACGCGUAGCCGGACUGAGAGGUCGGCCGGCCACAUCGGGACUGAGACACUGCCCGGACUCCUACGGGGGGCUGCAGUAACGAAUCUUCCCCAAUGCACGAAAGUGUGAGGGAGCGACGCCGCGUGGAGGAUGAAGUCCUUCGGGAUGUAAACUCCUGUCAGGGGUUACCAAGUUCUGAGGAGCCCCAGAGGAAGUGGCGGCUAACUCUGUGCCAGCAGCCGCGGUAAGACAGAGGCCACAAGCGUUA